CCCAUUGAGCCACCCAGGCGCCCCCCAAUAAUGAUUAUUAUGUAUCUUAUGCGUAAAUGUGCCAGGCUUGCCACUAAAUACUUUGUACAAAUCAUCUCAUUUGACUCUCAGAGCAACACUAUGAGGAAGAUCAAGUUCAGAGAGAUUAAGUAACUUGUCUAAUGUCACACAGUAACAUGAGGCCAAGCUGCCUACUCUAAAGCCAGGGUUCUUAACCUUUAUGAUUCCUGCAAUUCAGCACUGCCUCCCAGGUUCCUUGAGGAUUUCUGCCCUCCAAAAAGCCCAUAAUCUCCUUAGACUUUAUUUCUUUAUAUGUAAAUUAUUUCUCUUUUUUUGGUAAAUGAGCUCCAAAUCCCAUUUCUAAAAAUCUUUUUGCCCUUCAUAAGACUAAUUAUGUACUCAUGACCUUGACUGAUAAUAAAGUGACUCUACAAUUUAAAGAGUUGGAGGGAGCCCUGUGAGCUGGACAGAGCCUGUACCUGGCCAACUUCCUGGCGUUCGGGAUUUGUGGGCCACUGAUAGACUGGCAGCUGCUGGGGUCUGCAGCUGCCCUGGCUUAUCAUAGAGGCAACAUUUAGGAUCACUGUUGAGGAGGUCAGGGAUUCAGACCUGGUUAGUUUCUCUCCAUCUCCAAACUCUCAGAAAUUGCAAUGUGAGAAACAUUUUAAUGGUCCAUUUGCAUUAUUAUUCAGCAAAUUAGAUAGCAAACUGUAGUGAAUUAAAUACAUAAUUUCUCUGAAGAGGCUCCUUAUUCCUUUAAUCAUAAAACACUUUAAUUUUUUUAAGUUAGAAAAAUAAUUUUUAAAUGAGCCAGUUAGACACAUUAGAAUCUAAAUCCUGGAGAUUACUGUGUUUCCGUUCAAGUUCAAAUCCCCAUUAAUAAUAUCUACCAAAACACAAGACACACACACACACACACACACACACACACACUAUCCACAAACACCACUGUUUUGUGUUAACACUAUUUGUAUUCUAUAAUUCUGGAGUUACAAGUCGAUCAUAAAUCAUUUAAUAUUAUUACUUUUUUUCUUAGGUUUGACAUUGGAAUCAUUCUGUUUCAAAAGAGUCCUUGUCUUGUAGAGAUUGUGAUAGAUUAAAAUGCCUGACCACGGGACUUCGCAAUUCCUCUCAUCAAGGGAAGGUGCCCCUUUCCUACCCUUUUGACCUAGGCUGACCCUGUGAUUUCUUUGGGCCAGGAGGAUGAAAUGGAAGUAAGGUUGCUUGGGUUCUGAAGCCCAGACAGUAAGGAGUCUGGUAGUUUCCACUUUUACCCUCUUCUUACAUGGCUGCCAUCACCAUGUAAGGAGAAGCAUUAGACUACUGAAGGGAGAGACAUGACGUGGAGAGAGAGCCCCAGCUGACAGCCAGCACGGGGACCCCAGACACGUGAGUAAGGCAAUCCUAGACUGGCCCAGCCCCCUCAGGCCACUGGAUGCCUGCUUGAACCACCACAGCGGAGACCACUGCAAAUCAUCAGGCUUUGACUCCUAUAUAUGCAAGUCCUACAGGGGAAAGACAGUACUUUGAAGUUGUUAUCUAAGUUAUCUAACACAACUGUUUGUAAAUGGAAACCCCUAUGGGAUAAAUAUUACUGAGUGAACAAAUUUGUAAGAGUUCCAGUUUACAUCUUGAUGACUAUGUCAUAUAAUUAUGAUCCAAUGGUGGAUGGCUUAUGAGAGCUCAAGAGGCUCCAGAGGACUGAGAAGCAGUCCGAGGAAGAAGUAAGACGUACCAUCAAUUAGUAAAAAGGUAAAGACAAGAUUUGCAGAUAUCCGGGAAAAAGGAGAAGGAAUUUAUAGGUGAAUUCCCAAGCAUGAGGAAACUCCCUGCAGUACAGAAGGGAGCAAGAAAAGAUGAGAGGAGCCAGUAACAAACCAAAAUCAGGGGCAAUGCAUAUCUCAGUUCUAACUUCUACCAACGAGAAGAAAAUCUUCAAUGAUUAGUGGAUAUAAACUGGACAGAUUGCAAAGGAGCACAGGAUUUGGAGGCAGGGGCUUCAGAGAUUUGGGGUAGAGGACUUGUUCUCCUGAUUAUGAACUUUAAAUAAAGAUGACCACAACAAUGAUAAUGCUGAUGACGACGACAACACUUACUUUAUUGGGUUGUGUGGAUUCAAAUCCCCAUCCUAGUUUUCUCAUCAUUAGUUUCCAUUUUAGAUAUUGGAGACUCACUUUCCUUUGAAAGUGUCCCUUUUCAAGGACUACGCUUUGCUGAAAUUUGUCUUGGAGAAGGAAGGAAGGAAGAAAGGAAGGAAGGAAGGGAAGGAGGAAGGGAAAGAGAAAGGAAAGGAGAAGAUAAGAGAAAAGAAAAGAAGAGAAGAGAAAAGAGAUACACCAGUGAAGUAUACACUUAAAUGACCAAUUGUAGAGAUAAUAAUUGUUCUAGAUAUUUGGGAGGAAAGAAAUUACCUCAGACUACAACUGCUAAUGAAUGCCUUAUGGAAACAUGGAACUUGAAAUGCCUCUUAAAGAUUGAUAAGAUGUUUACAAAUCCAAGUUGAACCAACUUUAAUGAGUACAGUUGACCCUGGAGUCACAUGGUUUUCAACUGUGCAGGUCCACUUAUAUGCAGAUUUAUUUUUUAUAAAAACAGUACAAUACUGUAAAUGUAUUUUCUCUUCCUUAUAACUUUCUUAGGAAUAUUUUCUUUUCUUUAGCUUAGUUUAUUGUAAGAAUAGAGUAUAUAAUAUAUAUACAAACAAAAUACGUGUUAAUUGAUGGUCUGUGUUGUCAGUAAUGCUUCCCAUCAACGAUAAGCUAUUAGUAGUUAAGUGUUUGGGGAACCGAAAAUUAUAUGCAGAUUUUUGCCUGAGCUAGGUGGGUCAGUGCCCCUAAGCCCUACAUUGUUCAAUGGUCAACUGUAAUUGUAAUAUCUGGAUUAACUAAUUGAUGAAUUGUUCUCUAGGUCCAAAACUAACUUAAAGUUAUUAAUAAUAUUAGUUAGUAAUAUAUAAGUACUGAAGAUACUCUAUAAAUCUUAAGGUCAU